ACCACACUCUAAGCAUCAGAUACCUCUCAUUCCACCAAGCUGAAACUCUUCAUCCUCGCGCACCAUCUUGCUCGCUCAGAAUGGCUACCUCUGUGGAAAAAAUUCGGAUUUCUUAAUGCUGAACAAGUUAUACGCCUGUAUAAGACAUUAAUUGCCAAUGUAAAGCCGACUCAACCAGCUAUGUUGGAAUCAGCAGUUGCGUCUCCAAUAAAUGUCAAAUACUAUGCAUAGCAGGAAAAUAUCUUUCAGCUAGCUGCCAAUCUACCUGAGGGGAUUAUGAUAAUGUCAAUCAAGGCAUUACAAACACCCACAUUGUUGUUACAACCAAUCAAUGAACCAGCAAACAGCUGGGCAGCUAUUCCAAGAGUGUUGUGACUCCCAUAGCAAGCUGGACUCAAGAUAUUUGGCAUGGCGGGAUGAGACAAUCGAGUAUUAAGUUAUCUUGUCUGUAUCUUCUCUCUCUCUCUCUCUCUCUCUCUUUUGUUUAUUUAUUUAUUUAAAAUCUCAUUCUGUCAAUGGAUCAUUUUUCAUGUAUGAAUGGAUGGACAUAGCCAUGCAAGGCACUGACGGCAGAGUUAUUGGGUGGGUAACUGCCAUACAAGGCUUUGAAUUCUAUAUCAACCUAUAUACAAUGGCC
rnacentral:sRNA from 1 species